rnacentral:rRNA from 1 species
AUUGAACGCUGGCGGCAUGCCUUACACAUGCAAGUCGAACGAAGUUACACUUACGGAAGUCUUCGGAUGGAAGUUAUGUAACUUAGUGGCGGACGGGUGAGUAACGCGUGAGCAACCUGCCUUACAGAGGGGGAUAACAUUCGGAAACGAAUGCUAAUACCGCAUAACAUAUAUUUGUGGCAUCACAGAGAUAUCAAAGGAGUAAUCCGCUGUAAGAUGGGCUCGCGUCCGAUUAGAUAGUUGGUGAGGUAAUGGCUCACCAAGUCUACGAUCGGUAGCCGGACUGAGAGGUUGAUCGGCCACAUUGGGACUGAGACACGGCCCAGACUCCUACGGGAGGCAGCAGUGGGGAAUAUUGCACAAUGGGCGAAAGCCUGAUGCAGCAACGCCGCGUGAGGGAAGACGGUCUUCGGAUUGUAAACCUUUGUUAUUGGUGAAGAAACAAAUGACGGUAGCCAAUGAGGAAGCUCCGGCUAACUACGUG